rnacentral:rRNA from 1 species
AUUGAACGCUGGCGUUUUGCUUUACACCUGCAAGUUGAACGGCAGCACUGGGCCAGCCCUGGUGGCGCGUGGUGAACGGGUGAGUAAUACCUCGGAACGUGCCCGGUAGUCGGUGUUAACGUUGCGGAAGUUCCGCUUAUCCCCCAUACGCUCCGCAGCUGUACGCGCUGCUCCUUCUCGCCUCGCUCCAUCGGACCGCCGGCUGUCAGUUUAGGUAGUUGGUGGCGUGAAUGCCUAGCACACCGACGAUCGUUAGCCGUUCUGAGAGGAUGAUCAGCCACACUGUGACUGAGAAACGGCCCAGACUCCUGCGGGAGGCAGUGGUGGGGAAGUUUGGACAAUGGGUGCAAGCCUGAUCCAGCCAUACCGCGUGCAUGACGAAGGCCUUCGGGUUGUAAACUGCUUUUGUACGGAACGAAAAGGCUCGGGCUAAUACCUGGGGCUCAUGACGGUACCGUAAGAAUAAGCACCGGCUAACUACGUG